GAGAAGAUUUUUUAAGUUUUCACUAUAAACAUAUAGAGAAAACCCAUGACCCCCCGGGGCGGGGCCAAUUUUAACCCCAGGGCCAUUAUUUGAACAAACUUUGUAGAGGUCCACUAGACGAUGAAUCAUGCCAAAUAUCUAAGCUCUAGGCCAAGUAAGUUCAGAGGAGAAGAUUUUUUAAGUUUUCACUUUCAACAUAUAGAGAAAACCCAUGACCCCCCAGGGCGGGGCCAAUUUUGACCCAAGGGCCAUAAUUUGAACAAUCUUGGUAGAGGACCAUUUGGUGAUCCUACCUACCAUAUAUCAACGGCCUAAGCCUUGUGGUUUGGGAGAAGAUUUUUAAAGUUUUUCCUUUUGGUUGCCAUGGCAACCAGAGUUCUGCAUGGAAUUGAAUUCUUUGAACAACUUUGAUAGAAGACCACCUAAGGAACAUCCCUAUGAAGUUUUAUUAAUAUUAGCCCAGCGGUUAAGGAGGAUAUGUCUUUUAAGUAAAUUGUUGACGGACGACGCACGCCGGACGCCGGACAAAAGGCGAUCACAAAAGCUCACCUUGUCACAAAGUGACAGGUGAGCUAAAAACAAUGCAGACAUUGGGUAUGAUUGACAAAAGCAGUGUUGAAGUACAUCACUUAUGCACUGCAUAUUGACACAUGAGAACAUUAGAAUAACAAAACAAUGUAAGAUUUGUUAUUUUUCAAUACAAGUAAUCAGAAAUCUCAAAAUAUUCAUUAAUCUUAUAAAAAUAGUUGGGCUUAAAUCUGUUCUCUUACUUCUCUAAAUGUCAUGGAUUGAAGGCAAUCAGUUCAAUAUAUUGUAUGUAAUUCUAUGUUUAAGGGUCUGAUGUAUUCUGAAGGGAGAGAAACAGCAUUUACUUAAAUGGAAGCAGGUGACAUAAAGUUCAGACCUGUGUGAGAUUUGGUCUGUGGAAGACCAAAUGGAGGCAGCACACAUCCUUUGUGGAUUGAUGACCUUGGCAAACUGGUUAUAUUCUUUGACUGGUUGGAGUACACCAAGUGACCCCUGAAGUCCAUUCCAAACUUGAGGAAAUAUCAUCACUUCAGAACUUCAGCUGACAACCCAGUGAGUGAAUUCAUGAGAGAGCAUGCCAAGGACAUUGAGAUUGAAGUUAAAAUUGACAAGCCCACAACAAUGGCUUUUCCUUGGAGAGUACCCUGAACGCAUCCAACUAAAAGGACUUAAUGCAAAAAGGCUCUGAUCCCUUAAAUAAGUGAAAAAACUAAUAUACUGAUAUGUGAUCUUUAUAAACUAAAUAUAAGAUUUGAGAAUGAGCUCGUUACUGAGUUGAUGAAAACGUGUAUCAAUUUUUUAUUGACAAUUAUUUAUUCAAUAGGAACAUGUUCAUGUGAAAUGAAGCUACCAGUGAUUUUGAGUGAAAAACUGUGGUUUUAGCAAAUGAGUGAUAGAAGGGUUACACUUUUGUCGGUAGAGCCCCUCUGCCAUAAUGGAGACCACUAUAUGAUUAUUAUUAAUACAAACUUUAAACAAUCUGGCAGUUGAAGCCUAAUAAUGCUUGAAUUGAAGACUUCUAUUAUAUUAUUUGUCAAUAUUAGUUACUUCACAGCCUGAUAAAAUGUACUUUAGCAACCUUUCAGUUUUUCUUCAAUAUCUUUAUUUUAAAACCUUCUUGAACCCUAUAAACAUUUUCAGCUUUAACUUUUACCUAUGAAUAAGCAUCGAAAAUAUAAUUUGUCAUGUACUAUGUGACCAAUUGCAUACCUCUUGAAACUACAUAAUGACGUGUACAUGCUAAGAAGUUAGUAUGUUAAAUAAAUUGUUUUCAUUUUUGUAAAAUGUAAAUGUGCCCAUUCAUUAACUGAUCUAAUUUUACAAUAGUGUAAAUUGUGUAGAAUUGUUUUGUUUAUUAAAUGAAGAGUAUAUAUACUACCAUUUCAUGUUUUAUGAGCAAUGAAUUACUAUACAAAAAAUCACAUUUGAGGUAAAUUGGUAAAGUUGGUGUGAUUAUAAUCAUGUUUGUGGCUUGUUGCCAUGGUAACCAGGAUAAAAAAACAAACCCUUAAAUACCGUUCAAAUAAGAUAAAUUAUAGUAAAUUACAGGAGUAACAUACUUUAUUUUCUAGAUAUACAUUGGUUUGUAUUAGGUGCAAGUUCCAACCUAAUCAAUUUAUUGUGAAAAAUUGCCAAUAAACUACGGUACUUGGCGAACAGUUUUUAUUUAUUCUGAUUUUUUUUUGAAUGUCAAAUACAUACACCAUGCACAGCAAGGUUUGAGGAUAUCAAUUAACAAAUCAAUUAUUAUUGAAUGCUUCAUAUGGCAUUUGGUAUAUUUAAAUGCAAAUUUAACCCCAAAACGCCUUUUUCAAUAAUGGUUGCCAUGGUAACCAAUUAUUUACAUUUUAUUUUCUCAAUAAUAAUUGAGAAUGGUUUUGAAAAUAUGUUGUUGUCGUUAUAAUGUGGGAAUUGUGUAUAUUGUAG